rnacentral:rRNA from 1 species
GAUGAACGCUAGCGGCAGGCUUAAUACAUGCAAGUCGAGGGGCGAGCACGGUUAGCAAUAACUGGUGGCGACCGGCGCACGGGUGCGUAACACGUAUACAAUCUACCUUAAACAGGGGGAUAGCCUUUCGAAAGAGAGAUUAAUACCCCGUAAUAAAUUGAACGGCAUCGUUUGAUUUUGAAAGCUCCGGCGGUUUGAGAUGAGUAUGCGUCUGAUUAGCUAGUUGGUGAGGUAACGGCUCACCAAGGCGACGAUCAGUAGGGGAUCUGAGAGGACUAACCCCCACACUGGUACUGAGACACGGACCAGACUCCUACGGAGGCAGCAGUAAGGAAAGUAUUAGGUUC